AUUGAACGCUGGCGGCAUACCUUACACAUGCAAGUCGAAUGGUAACAGGUCUUCGGAUGCUGACGAGUGGCGAACGGGUGAGUAAUACAUCGGAACGUGCCCGAUCGUGGGGGAUAACUACCCGAAAGAGUAGCUAAUACCGCAUACGAUCUACGGAUGAAAGCGGGGGAUCUUCGGACCUCGUGCGGACGGAGCGGCCGAUGGCAGAUUAGGUAGUUGGUAGGAUAAAAGCUUACCAAGCCGACGAUCUGUAGCUGGUCUGAGAGGACGACCAGCCACACUGGGACUGAGACACGGCCCAGACUCCUACGGGAGGCAGCAGUGGGGAAUUUUGGACAAUGGGCGAAAGCCUGAUCCAGCAAUGCCGCGUGCAGGAUGAAGGCCUUCGGGUUGUAAACUGCUUUUGUACGGAACGAAAAGACUCCUUCUAAUACAGGGGGUCCAUGACGGUACCGUAAGAAUAAGCACCGGCUAACUACGUGCCAGCCGCCGCAGUAACAC
rnacentral:rRNA from 1 species